GUCUGUUUGAAGAUAUAAAGAGUCUGGCCUGCCCACUGAUAAGAUUUAAAGGGCCGCGGUAUUUUGACCGUGCAAAGGUAGCAUAAUAGUUAGGUCUUUAAUUGAGAUCUUGUAUGAAUGGUUUGACAAAAGAAAGCCUGUCUUUGUACUCAUUAGUUGAAUUUAACUUUUAAGUGAAAAGGCUUAAAUUUCUUAGGGGGACGAUAAGACCCUAUAAAACUUUAUAUGGGGCUUUAUUUAGUUAAAUUUUUGAUAAUUGUAUAAAGAUUGAUAAUAAGAGCUUUAUAUUGUGUUGGGGCGACAAAAAUAAAAUUUAUAAUAACUGUUUUUAUUUAUGACAAUUAUGUGUGUUUAUUCUUAUUUUAUGAUCCUAAUUAAAGAUUAUAAGUUUAAGUUACUUUAGGGAUAACAGCGUUAUUUUUUUUGAGAGUUCUUAUCGAAAAAAAAGUUUGCGACCUCGAUGUUGAAUUAAAAUUUCUACACAAUUGUAGGAGUUGUGUAAGAAGGUCUGUUCGACCUUUAAAUUUUUACAUGAUUUGAGUUCAAACCGGCGUGAG
rnacentral:rRNA from 1 species